rnacentral:lncRNA from 1 species
CUCCACACCCGCAGGUGAAUGUCCAAGUGCUGCCGCAGCAGGAGAAGCCCGAGGUGAGUAUGAUUUUCCAUCCUUUCGUUGCGCUUUAGCCUGGGGGAGCCCUGCCUGCCCUUCUCUCCCCAGAAAGUAAAGUUCGUUCUUUCUCCUGCCAGCUGUUUGCGUGACUACAUGUUCAACAGGCGCCUUCCCCGCGGGGACAAUAAACCCGAGGGACUGAUUUUGGAGGAGGAGGAGGAGGAGGCUGCCGGGCUGGAGGGAAGUGCCUGCAGGGGCUGCUUCCAACCGGGACCCAAGUGUUCCCGUGUUGCUCUUCUCUCAGGAGCUGCGCUAGAAAAGGAGAGCCCGGAACCACACUUCUCACCGAUUUAUUCAAACAAACCAGCCCUGAGCUGUGAGUUGGCCCGGAGCAGCAGAGGCGCGGCCAGGACGGGCCAGCUCUGUCCCGGCCUCCAGAGCCCUGCGCGAGUGUGGACGGGAGGCAGCGGGGAGGUGGAUGCUGCUCUCCCCCCACCCCUCCCUUUUUCCUCCCUUCUACUGCAAUUCAUUUCUGUUUGACGAGGCACAAUAAAAUCUUCUUGUACAUCCCC